UAUAGAGAGAGCCAUGAAUUUGAAGGUUCUUUGUCAGACCCUACCUGCUCGUGCUGGAGCAUGCCAGGAUGAUAUAGUUUUCCCUAGGUCUGGCCUAUGUCAAUUGUGCCCUGUUAUCCAAAAAGUAUGAGGAAGAUUGAAUGUCUCAUUAUAACUCUUGUCCAAAGUGUCCAAGAGAACAUAUCAAGUAACAGAACCAAAAUGUCACCAGCUGAGUGAAACACUUAUAAGCUUACCUGCUACCACCACUUGCAUGAACAAGCUAGCAGGUGAGCUCCAAAUAGAACAGAAAGAGUCAACAGGAGGAGGAGAAGAGCUGAACUCCACUGAAUCUCUGGUCUAGACAUAGGCCACUACAUGAACUCCCAGGCUAACAGACAUGCUAGACUCUCUGGAGAGACUUGCUGGUACAUGUGCAAAUCUUGACAGAAUUUACUAUCUUAUUCUUAAAAUCUGAAGCCCUGAAGUCUACACCAUUCUUUCUUUAUAAGAUUUGGGCCCUCAGCGGCAACCAGGAGCCAACAGUGGUCUUGAACACUUGAAGCGGAUGGGGUUCAUGUUGGAAUCAAGAUAUCUGUGUGGACAAGAGAUGCCUGGUUAUCUUCUGAGAAUUUGCCAGUGAUGCCAAAUUAUGUGAUGGUUUUGUGGAGACCAAAAUAAGAC